GAUGAACGCUGGCGGCGUGCCUAAUACAUGCCAGUCGAGCGAACAGACGAGGAGCUUGCUCCUCUGACGUUAGCGGCGGACGGGUGAGUAACACGUGGAUAACCUACCUAUAAGACUGGGAUAACUUCGGGAAACUGGAGCUAAUACCGGAUAAUAUAUUGAACCGCAUGGUUCAAUAGUGAAAGACGGUUUUGCUGUCACUUAUAGAUGGAUCCGCGCCGCAUUAGCUAGUUGGUAAGGUAACGGCUUACCAAGGCGACGAUGCGUAGCCGACCUGAGAGGGUGAUCGGCCACACUGGAACUGAGACACGGUCCAGACUCCUACGGGAGGCAGCAGUAGGGAAUCUUCCGCAAUGGGCGAAAGCCUGACGGAGCAACGCCGCGUGAGUGAUGAAGGUCUUCGGAUCGUAAAACUCUGUUAUUAGGGAAGAACAAAUGUGUAAGUAACUAUGCACGUCUUGACGGUACCUAAUCAGAAAGCCACGGCUAACUACGUG
rnacentral:rRNA from 1 species